rnacentral:rRNA from 1 species
UACGAAGGGUGCAAGCGUUAAUCGGAAUUACUGGGCGUAAAGCGUGCGUAGGCGGUUGGCUAAGUCAGAUGUGAAAGCCCUGGGCUCAACCUGGGAAUGGCAUUUGAAACUGGCCGGCUAGAGUGUGAUAGAGGAUGGCGGAAUUCCUGGUGUAGCAGUGAAAUGCGUAGAUAUCAGGAGGAAUACCGAUGGCGAAGGCAGGUCUCUGGGCUAACACUGACGCUCAUGCACGAAAGCGUGGGGAGCAAACAGG